CGGGGGGUGCAAGCGUUGUUCGGAUUUAUUGGGCGUAAAGCGCGUGUAGGCGGUUUGUUAAGUCUGAUGUGAAAGCCCUGGGCUCAACCCAGGAAGUGCAUUGGAUACUGGCAAACUUGAAUACGGGAGAGGGCAGUGGAAUUCCUGGUGUAGGAGUGAAAUCCGUAGGUAUCAGGAGGAACACCGGUGGCGAAGGCGGCUGCCUGGACCGAUAUUGACGCUGAGACGCGAAAGCGUGGGUAGCAAACAGGAUUAGAUACCCUGGUAGUCCACGCCGUAAACGAUGAGUACUAGGUGUUGCGGGUAUUGACCCCUGCAGUGCCGCAGCUGACGCAUUAAGUACUCCGCCUGGGAAGUACGGUCGCAAGACUA
rnacentral:rRNA from 1 species